rnacentral:rRNA from 1 species
ACGGCGAGUGAACGGAGAGAAGCCCAGCGCUGAAUCAUUUGAUCACAGUGAUCAAAAUGAAAUGUAGCGUAUAGGUGUAAUUGUCCAAAUGUUUUGUGCACUCAAAGUCCCCUUGAGCGGGGCCACAGUCCACAGAAGGUGCUAGACCUGUACGGGUGACGAAACAUUUGGUUGAUUGCUCCUUGGAGUCGGGUUGCCUGAGAUCGCAGCUCAAAGUGGGUGGUAAACCUCAUCUAAGGCUAAAUAUGGCCACGAGACCGAUAGCAAACAAGUACCGUGAGGGAAAGUUGAAAAGAACUCUGAGAAGAGAGUUAAAGGAGGACGUGAAACCGCUGGGAUGGAAACGAAUAGAGUUGACGAAACUUACCGUCAUUCAACCGAUCAACUCAGCGGUCUUUUAUUGUUUAAUUGUACCAAUUAAUGUGCAUCAUCUUUUGUUGGUGUAUAUUAAUGGACAAUAAUAAAAGGUGCUGUUGAGUAGUUUCAAUGCCUGUGUGAUCGGUGCAUUUGAUGGUAGUACGCGCCGAGAGCUGCGUUGUUUUGAAUUGUGUACGAUGAAACAUUUUGAUAGUGGACCGGAUAAUUUUUAUUCGGAAACCUAUCAAUUGUGGAAGCGUAUCAUCAAUGCAGUUUUUUUUGGAAUGCAUACUUUCGCCAUUGUUUUUGGUGCGUUACAUAUGUGCUCAAAUUUAUACUAACAUAUUAUGAUCGCUUGCGUAUCAUAUAUGUUUUUGGUAUUAAAUUGAGUGAUAUGUUUUUUCAUGAUUGAACGCGUUAAAGUUGCAUCUCGGUGUGAGCGUCGAUCACCUAUUCGACCCGUCUUGAAACACGGACCAAGGAGUCUAGCAUAUACGCAAGUUAUUGGGUGGUAAACCUUAAAAAACGCAAUGAAAGUGAACAUCGUCUUGAUACGAUUUUGAAUAUGUGAACCAUGUUUGUUCUUAUUUUUUUGAUUGAUGUAUGUAUGUGUUUUUUUAGCACAUACAUAUUUGAUCAUGAAUAUUUACAAUUACAUGGUGCAACAUAGCCCCGUCCCCGUUGCUUGCAAUAGGGCGGAGGUAGAGCGUAUACGCUGGGACCCGAAAGAUGGUGAACUAUGCCUGAGCAGGAUGAAGCCAGAGGAAACUCUGGUGGAGGUCCGAAGCGAUUCUGACGUGCAAAUCGAUCGUCUGACUUUGGUAUAGGGGCGAAAGACUAAUCGAACUAUCUAGUAGCUGGUUCCCUCUGAAGUUUCCCCCAGGAUAGCUGGAGUACAUCAAACAGCAGUUAUAUUCGGUAAAGCGAAUGAUUAGACGAAUUGGGGACGAAACGUCCUCAACCUAUUCUCAAACUUUCAAUGGGUAUGAAGUUUCGCUUUCUUAAAGAGAAAAUUUUGUUUUCUCAUUGAAGCGUAAACAUUGAAUGCGUACUCCAAGUGGGCCAUUUUUGGUAAGCAGAACUGGCGCUGUGGGAUGAACCAAACGUCAAGAUAAAGUGCCAAACUUUUCGCUCAUGAGACCCCAUGAAAGGCGUUGGUUGAUAUAGACAGCAGGACGGUGGCCAUGGAAGUCGGAAGCCGCUAAGGAGUGUGUAACAACUCACCUGCCGAAUCAACUAGCCCUGAAAAUGGAUGGCGCUUGAGCGAGAGACUUAUACUCGACCGUUGCUAGGCUUGUGUACACAGGUAAAAAAUAUCAACAAAAAAAAAAAUUUUUUUUUUUUUUGGAAAAAACAAUGAAACAUUUUGUUACCUGGCCGCAACGAGUAAGAGGGUCGCAGUGGUUAGCGCUGAAAACUUUGGGCGUAGGCCCAGUUGGAGCUUCCACUGGUGCAGAUCUUGGUGGUAGUAGCAAAUAUUCAAGUGAGAUCCUUGAAGACUGAAGUGGAGAAGGGUUCCUCGUGAACAGCAGUUGGAUGCGGGUCAGUCGAUCCUAAGAUAUUGGCUAAUGCCAUUUGUUGAAUGAGAGACGGAGAUCAAAUCCAUCUCGGCAAUCGAAAGGGAAACGGGUUUAUAUUCCCGUACCUGGACACGGAGAUUAAAUACUCAUAGCGGGUAUUUAGCGCGGUAACGCAAACGAACUCGGAGACGUUGAGCAGAGCCCGAGCCAGAGUUCUCUUUUCUGGUUAAGGAACGGACUCCCUGGAAGCGGUUCAGCCGGCGAUAGGGACGUUGUUUCCGUAAAGCGCCACGGUUCCUGUGGCGUCUCGUGCACUCUGCUCGAUCCAUGAAAAUCCGAGGGAGGCAAUUUGAAUUUCGUGCCAGAUCGUACCGAUAUCCGCAGCAGGUCUCCAAGGUGAACAGCCUCUAGUCGAUAGAAUAAUGUAGGUAAGGGAAGUCGGCAAAUUAGAUCCGUAACUUCGGGAAAAGGAUUGGCUCUAAGGACUGGGUCGGUCGGGCUGCAGCGUGAAGUGAGUGCGGUUUGAUCCGUGCAGUGCUAACGCUAAUUGGUUGCACAAAAUUUCUUGAUCUCUGGAUUAGAAAUCUUCUCUGAUUGCAUCAUUGAAAGUAUUGCAUAUGAUAUAUGUGUGUGUGUAUUACAUAUGUGUGAUAAUUUGUUUUUUUGGACAGAUUAUUUACUAUAUGUAUGCGCGUGUGCAUAUAUUAUUGUAUGCUUUUUGUGGUGUUUUAUUGGAUGAAGAAAAAUUUCUUUUUCUUCGAGUGAAAAGGAAUGUGUCCAAUUUGGUGUUUGGCUCGGCUAGUGUUUGAACUGUCUUAUGGACCACUGCAGCUGUGUAUUGGUUCACUUUUUUUGGUGCCAAUACUUCGUCCGGCGCUAAACAGUCAGCUUAGAACUGGCACGGACUCGGGGAAUCCGACUGUCUAAUUAAAACAGAGGAGACAGAUGGUCCUUGCGGACGUUGACUGUCUCUGAUUUCUGCCCAGUGCUCUGAAUGUAAAAGUGAAGAAAUUCAACCAAGCGCGGGUAAACGGCGGGAGUAACUAUGACUCUCUUAAGGUAGCCAAAUGCCUCGUCGGCCAAUUACCGACGCGCAUGAAUGGAUUAUCGAGAUUCCCACUGUCCCUAUCUACUAUCUAGCGAAAUCACAGCCAAGGGAACGGGCUUGGUAAACACAGCGGGGAAAGAAGACCCUGUUGAGCUUGACUCUAGUCCGACUCUGUGAAGAGUCAUGAGAGGUGUAGCAUAAGUGGGAGGUAUUAUUUUUUGRAAUGAUGCCAACAGUGAAAUACCACUACUUUCAUCGAUUCUUUACUUAUUCGGUAAGACGAGAAUUGAACCGAAGACGGUUCUUGAUUCUGGUAUAAAGUGUAGCCGCUUGGUGGCCGCACGACUCGCGCCGAAGACAGUGUCAGGCGGGGAGUUUGACUGGGGCGGUACAUCUGUCAAAAGGUAACGCAGGUGUCCUAAGGCUAGCUCAGAGAGGACGGAAACCUCUCGUAGAGUAAAAGGGCAAAAGCUCGCUUGAUCUUGAUUUCCAGUACGAAUACAGACCGCGAAAGCGUGGCCUAUCGAUCCUUUUGAAUUAGAAGGUCUCUAGCAAGAGGUGUCAGAAAAGUUACCACAGGGAUAACUGGCUUGUGGCAGCCAAGCGUCCAUAGCGACGUUGCUUUUUGAUCCUUCGAUGUCGGCUCUUCCUAUCAUUGCGAAGCAGAAUUCGCCAAGCGUUGGAUUGUUCACCCACCAAUAGGG